UGAGGAAUAUUGGUCAAUGGGCGGGAGCCUGAACCAGCCAAGCCGCGUGAGGGAGGAAGGCCCUAUGGGUCGUAAACCUCUUUUGUCAGGGAACAAAAGCGAGUAUGUAUACUAGUCUGAGUGUACCUGAAGAAAAAGCAUCGGCUAACUCCGUGCCAGCAGCCGCGGUAAUACGGAGGAUGCGAGCGUUAUCCGGAUUUAUUGGGUUUAAAGGGUGCGUAGGCGGCGGUGCAAGUCAGCGGUAAAAGCCCGGGGGCUCAACCCCGGCGAGCCGUUGAAACUGCAGUGCUAGAGAAGGCGAGAGGUACGCGGAAUGCGCAGUGUAGCGGUGAAAUGCUUAGAUAUUGCGCAGAACUCCGAUUGCGAAGACAGCGUACUGGCGCCUGACUGACGCUGAGGCACGAAAGCGUGGGGAUCGAACAGGAUUAGAUACC
rnacentral:rRNA from 1 species